rnacentral:rRNA from 1 species
AGAGUUUGAUCCUGGCUCAGGAUGAACGCUAGCUACAGGCUUAACACAUGCAAGUCGAGGGGCAUCAGGAAGAAAGCUUGCUUUCUUUGCUGGCGACCGGCGCACGGGUGAGUAACACGUAUCCAACCUGCCCUUUACUCGGGGAUAGCCUUUCGAAAGAAAGAUUAAUACCCGAUGGCAUAAUGAUUCCGCAUGGUUUCAUUAUUAAAGGAUUCCGGUAAAGGAUGGGGAUGCGUUCCAUUAGGUUGUUGGUGAGGUAACGGCCCACCAAGCCUUCGAUGGAUAGGGGUUCUGAGAGGAAGGUCCCCCACAUUGGAACUGAGACACGGUCCAAACUCCUACGGGAGGCAGCAGUGAGGAAUAUUGGUCAAUGGGCGCUAGCCUGAACCAGCCAAGUAGCGUGAAGGAUGAAGGCUCUAUGGGUCGUAAACUUCUUUUAUAUAAGAAUAAAGUGCAGUAUGUAUACUGUUUUGUAUGUAUUAUAUGAAUAAGGAUCGGCUAACUCCGUGCCAGCAGCCGCGGUAAUACGGAGGAUCCGAGCGUUCUCCGGAUUUAUUGGGUUUAAAGGGAGCGUAGGUGGACUGGUAAGUCAGUUGGGAAAGUUUGCGGCUCAACCGUAAAAUUGCAAUUGAUACUGUCAGUCUUGAGUACAGUAGAGGUGGGCGGAAUUCGUGGUGUAGCGGUGAAAUGCUUAGAUAUCACGAAGAACUCCGAUUCCGAAGGCAGCUCACUGGACUGCAACUGACACUGAUGCUCGAAAGUGUGGGUAUCAAACAGGAUUAGAUACCCUGGUAGUCCACACAGUAAACGAUGAAUACUCGCUGUUUGCGAUAUACAGUAAGCGGCCAAGCGAAAGCAUUAAGUAUUCCACCUGGGGAGUACGCCGGCAACGGUGAAACUCAAAGGAAUUGACGGGGGCCCGCACAAGCGGAGGAACAUGUGGUUUAAUUCGAUGAUACGCGAGGAACCUUACCCGGGCUUAAAUUGCAGUGGAAUGAUGUGGAAACAUGUCAGUGAGCAAUCACCGCUGUGAAGGUGCUGCAUGGUUGUCGUCAGCUCGUGCCGUGAGGUGUCGGCUUAAGUGCCAUAACGAGCGCAACCCUUAUCUUUAGUUACUAACAGGUCAUGCUGAGGACUCUGGAGAGACUGCCGUCGUAAGAUGUGAGGAAGGUGGGGAUGACGUCAAAUCAGCACGGCCCUUACGUCCGGGGCUACACACGUGUUACAAUGGGGGGUACAGAAGGCAGCUAGCGGGUGACCGUAUGCUAAUCCCAAAAGCCUCUCUCAGUUCGGAUCGAAGUCUGCAACCCGACUUCGUGAAGCUGGAUUCGCUAGUAAUCGCGCAUCAGCCACGGCGCGGUGAAUACGUUCCCGGGCCUUGUACACACCGCCCGUCAAGCCAUGGGAGCCGGGGGUACCUGAAGUACGUAACCGCAAGGAUCGUCCUAGGGUAAAACUGGUGACUGGGGCUAAGUCGUAACAAGGUAGCC